rnacentral:rRNA from 1 species
AUUGAACGCUGGCGGCAUGCCUUACACAUGCAAGUCGAGCGGAUGAAGGGAGCUUUCUCCUUGAUUCAGCGUCGGACGGGUGAGUAAUACCUAUGAAUCUACCUGGUAGUGUGGGAUAACGUCCGGCAACGGGCGCUAAUACCGCAUAUGUUCUGAGGGAGAAAGUGCGGGAUCUUCUGACCUCACGCUAUCAGAUGAUCCUAGGUCGGAUUAGCUAGUUGGUGGGGUAAAGGCCUACCAAGGCGACGAUCCGUAACUGGUCUGAGAGGAUGAUCAGUCACACUGGAACUGAGACACGGUCCAGACUCCUACGGGAGGCAGCAGUGGGGAAUAUUGGACAAUGGGCGAAAGCCUGAUCCAGCAAUGCCGCGUGUGUGAAGAAGGUCUUCGGAUUGUAAAGCACUUUAAGUUGGGAGGAAGGGCAGUGAGUUAAUACCUUGCUGUGUUGACGGUACCAACAGAAUAAGCACCGGCUAACUUCGUG